rnacentral:lncRNA from 1 species
AGGCUUCCUUGAUAGCAGCUGGAUCAUGCAGCCACACUCUACUGAGCAAGCUCACUUCUGCAGCUCUCCUGAAAAGCUACAGGGAAUCCAGGAAGAUGAUCGGGUUGGCGCUUCACAGAAAGGGACUUCAGCUGUUGUGUUACCAGAAAUAAAACAGAGCAUGAUGUGUUACCUCUAA